CAAACUUUUGACACCGCUGCACAAAUGAAGGACAAGGCGAAAGUCAUCAUGAAUAAGCCGGAGAGGAGAGCCAACUUCAGUUGGUUCCUCUUCAAUGUGGAGCUGACGGACGUGACCCGCCAUUGCUUGACGGAGGGACCCUUCGAUCGACUCAAGCAAUUCAAGGAGUUUUAUCUGAACGAAGCAAGAAACGGGCCGCCGACAUAGCGUGACGCACUAUUCCGCCAUCAACAGUGCUAGGAAGCCUA